AGUGAACGCUGGCGGCAGGCCUAACACAUGCAAGUCGAACGCCCCGCAAGGGGAGUGGCGCACGGGUGAGGAACGCGUGGGAAUAUGCCCUUCGGUUCGGAAUAACACAGGGAAACUUGUGCUAAUACCGGAUACGAUCUACGGAUGAAAGAUUCAUCGCCGAAGGAGUAGCCCGCGUAGGAUUAGCUAGUUGGUGAGGUAAUGGCUCACCAAGGCGACGAUCCUUAGCUGGUCUGAGAGGAUGAUCAGCCACACUGGGACUGAGACACGGCCCAGACUCCUACGGGAGGCAGCAGUGGGGAAUAUUGGACAAUGGGCGAAAGCCUGAUCCAGCCAUGCCGCGUGAGUGAUGAAGGCCUUAGGGUUGUAAAGCUCUUUCGCCAGGGAAGAUAAUGACGGUACCUGGAAAAGAAGCCUCGGCUAACUCCGUGCCAGCCGCCGCGGUAA
rnacentral:rRNA from 1 species